CGUGAAAUGGGCGGAGCCCUGAGCUCUGGCGUCCAGGUCAAGGACGCUUGGCCCCUCCCUGUCCAGCAGCAAGAAGCGCAGCUCCCUCUUCCGGAAGAUCACGAAGCAGUCGAACCUGCUGCAUACUAGCCGCUCGCUGUCGUCGCUGAACCGCUCGCUGUCAUCCAGCGAUAGUCUCCCGGGCUCGCCUACGCACGGGCUGCCGGCGCGCUCGCCCACGCACAGCUACCGCUCCACGCCUGACUCCGCCUACCUAGGCGCCUCAUCCCAGAGCAGCUCCCCAGCAUCAAGCACGCCCAACUCGCCUGCGUCGUCGGCGUCGCACCACAUUCGGCCCAGCACGCUGCACGGACUGUCGCCAAAGCUCCAUCGCCAGUACCGCUCUGCGCGAUGCAAGUCGGCUGGCAACAUCCCUCUAUCGCCGCUGGCACACACGCCGUCCCCCACGCAGGCAUCACCGCCGCCACUGCCGGGCCACACGGUGGGCAGCUCGCACACUACGCAGAGCUUCCCGGCCAAACUGCACUCAUCGCCUCCCGUCGUGCGCCCGCGCCCCAAGAGUGCCGAGCCCCCUCGCUCGCCGCUCCUCAAGCGCGUGCAGUCGGCUGAGAAGCUGGGAGCCUCCUUGAGUGCGGACAAGAAGGGCGCGCUGCGCAAACACAGCCUCGAGGUGGGCCACCCGGAUUUCCGCAAGGACUUCCAUGGCGAGCUGGCGCUGCAUAGCCUUGCCGAGUCCGACGGUGAGACGCCCCCAGUCGAGGGCCCUGGCGCGCCCCGGCAGGUCGCCGUCCGCCGCCUGGGCCGACAGGAGUCACCUUUGAGCCUGGGCGCGGACCCGUUGCUGCCCGAGGGUGCCUCCAGGCCACCAGUGUCGAGCAAGGAGAAGGAAUCCCCGGGGGGCGCCGAGGCGUGCACCCCACCCCGCGCGACGACCCCCGGUGGCCGGACCCUGGAGCGGGACGUCGGCUGCACGCGGCAUCAGAGCGUGCAGACGGAGG
rnacentral:sRNA from 1 species